GAUGAACGCUGGCUACAGGCUUAACACAUGCAAGUCGAGGGGAAACGGCAUUGAGUGCUUCCACUGAAUGGACGUCGACCGGCGCACGGGUGAGUAACGCGUAUCCAACCUUCCCGUUACUGCGUGAUAACCUGCCGAAAGGCAGACUAAUACCGUAUUUUCUUCGAUGACGGCCUCAGAUGCGAAGCCAAGAUCCGUCGGUAACGGAGUGGGAUGCGUCUGAUUAGCUAGUUGGCGGGGCGACGGCCCACCAAGGCGACGAUCGGUAGGGGUUCUGAGAGGAAGGUCCCCCACAUUGGAACUGGGACACGGACCAAGCUCCUACGGGAGGCAGCAGUGAGGAAUAUUAGGCAAUGGGCGGGAGCCUGAGACAGCCAAGUAGCGUGCAGGAUGACGGCCCUACGGGUUGUAAACUGCUUUUAUGCGGGGAUAAAGUGAGGGACGCGUCCCUUUUUGCAGGUACCGCAUGAAUAAGGACCGGCUAAUUCCGUG
rnacentral:rRNA from 1 species